AUUGAACGCUGGCGGCAGGCCUAACACAUGCAAGUCGAGCGGAUGAAGGGAGCUUUUUCCUGUAUUCAGCUGCGGACGGGUGAGUAAUGCCUAGGAAUCUGCCUUGUAUUUGGGGAUAACGUCCGUAAACGGGCGCUAAUACCGCAUACGUUCUGAGGGUGAAAGGGGGGGAUCUUCGGACCUCACGCUAUUAGAUGAGCCUAGGUCGGAUUAGCUAGUUGGUGGGGUAAAGGCCUACCAAGGCGACGAUCCGUAACUGGUCUGAGAGGAUGAUCAGCCACACUGGAACUGAGACACGGUCCAGACUCCUACGGGAGGCAGCAGUGGGGAAUAUUCGACAAUGGGCGAAAGCCUGAUCCAGCCAUGCCGCGUGUGUGAAGAAGGUCUUCGGAUUGUAAAGCACUUUAAGUUGGGAGGAAGGGCAGUAAGUUAAUCCCUUGCUGUUUUGACGGUACCAACAGAAUAAGCACCGGCUAACUUCGUG
rnacentral:rRNA from 1 species